UACGAAGGUGGCAAGCGUUACUCGGAAUGACUAGGCGUAAAGGGCAGGUAGGUGGUCUUGUAAGUCUGCUGUGAAAGCUCCCGGCUCAACUGGGAGAGGCCAGCGGAUACUGCAAGGCUUGAGUAUAGGAGAGGAUACUGGAAUUCCCGGUGGAGCGGUGAAAUGUGUAGAUAUCGGGAGGAACACCAAUGGCGAAAGCAAGUAUCUGGACUAUUACUGACACUCAGCUGCGAAAGCUAGGGGAGCAAACAGG
rnacentral:rRNA from 1 species